rnacentral:rRNA from 1 species
AGAGUUUGAUCCUGGCUCAGAGCGAACGCUGGCGGCAUGCUUAACACAUGCAAGUCGCACGGGCAGGGCAACCUGUCAGUGGCGGACGGGUGAGUAACGCGUAGGUAUCUAUCCUUGGGUGGGGGACAACCGUGGGAAACUACGGCUAAUACCGCAUGAUGACUGAGGUCCAAAGGCGCAAGUCGCCUGGGGAGGAGCCUGCGUACGAUUAGCUAGUUGGUGGGGUAAAGGCCUACCAAGGCGACGAUCGUUAGCUGGUCUGAGAGGAUGAUCAGCCACAUUGGGACUGAGACACGGCCCAAACUCCUACGGGAGGCAGCAGUGGGGAAUAUUAGACAAUGGGCGCAAGCCUGAUCCAGCAAUGCCGCGUGUGUGAAGAAGGUCUUCGGAUUGUAAAGCACUUUCGACGGGGACGAUGAUGACGGUACCCGUAGAAGAAGCCCCGGCUAACUUCGUGCCAGCAGCCGCGGUAAUACGAAGGGGGCUAGCGUUGCUCGGAAUGACUGGGCGUAAAGGGCGCGUAGGCGGAUCGGACAGUCAGAUGUGAAAUUCCCGGGCUUAACCUGGGGGCUGCAUUUGAUACGUCAGGUCUAGAGUGAGGAAGAGGGUAGUGGAAUUCCCAGUGUAGAGGUGAAAUUCGUAGAUAUUGGGAAGAACACCGGUGGCGAAGGCGGCUGCCUGGUCCUUGACUGACGCUGAGGCGCGAAAGCGUGGGGAGCAAACAGGAUUAGAUACCCUAGUAGUCC